AUUGAACGCUGGCGGCAGGCUUAACACAUGCAAGUCGAACGAGUGGCGGACGGGUGAGUAAUGCCUGGUAAACUAGCUUAUGGAGGGGGAUAACUACGGGAAACGGUAGCUAAUACCGCGUACCAUAGGAUGAGCACAAUGUGGAUUAGGUAGUUGGUGAGGUAAAGGCUCACCAAGCCGACGAUCUCUAGCUGGUCUGAGAGGAGGACCAGCCACACUGGGACUUGUACACGGCCCCGACUCCUAAGGGAGGCAGCAGUGGGGAAUAUUGCACUAUGGGCGCAAGCCUGAUGCAGCCAUGCCGCGUGUAUGAGGAAGGCCCUAGGGUUGUAAAGUACUUUCAGUCGGGAGGCGUUACCGACAGAAGAAGCACCGGCUAACUCCGUGCCAGCAGCCGCGGUAAUAC
rnacentral:rRNA from 1 species